UUGCGUGUCCCUUUAGUAUUGGAUAAUCCAUCUUCUCUCCAUCUUCUCUUUUGCUCGACCUCCUUCUUCGUUUGAUUCCUCCUCCAAUCUCAGUAACUCCAUCUUUUAUUUCACUUCUGAUCUCGAUUUCUUUUUUCGUUUGAUUCGUUUGAUUCCUUCUCUGCAGUUACGAUUGUUUCUCCUCUCGAACCAUCUUCUUCAACGCGUUUGACUCUUCUUCUCUGUAUCUGAGUUAGCAAUGAAGUCAGGAGGAUCAUGAUUGAACCCAAAUGCAGCAGCUUACGCACCACUCUCCAAAAGAGAAGGUGAUUCUUCAAAGCAUGUUGGUGCUGAUGCAGCCACACGUGACGUUCAGCACCAACAACCCUAUGGUUAUGGAGUCCAAGGGAAGGGAAGUUCUCCAGGCGCUCACAUGAGGGAUGAUGAUUCGGAGACUGAUAAGGAGAUGGAGUUCCUUUUGGCCAACUCCAUCUCCGUGAUGUUUGUCAGAUGAGUCUAUAUGUGAUGUUUACUUAGCCAACUCGAGGUAAACUUAUUUCACUAGUAUCCAUCUCACACUUAAAUUACACCUAGGGUAGAUUGUCCGCAAAGCUUUGUUUCUCUGUGGAAAAAGAGAGAGAGAGAGAGAGAGAGAGAGAGAGAGAGAGAGAGAGAGAGAGUACAUUUGUAUAGAUUUUGAAUUUCAAGCUUGGGUGUUGCAGAUUAGGAUUCUUCUUAUGGUA